rnacentral:rRNA from 1 species
AGUGAACGCUGGCGGUAGGCCUAACACAUGCAAGUCGAACGGCAGCACAGUAAGAGCUUGCUCUUACGGGUGGCGAGUGGCGGACGGGUGAGGAAUACAUCGGAAUCUACUUUUUCGUGGGGGAUAACGUAGGGAAACUUACGCUAAUACCGCAUACGACCUACGGGUGAAAGCAGGGGAUCUUCGGACCUUGCGCGAUUGAAUGAGCCGAUGUCGGAUUAGCUAGUUGGCGGGGUAAAGGCCCACCAAGGCGACGAUCCGUAGCUGGUCUGAGAGGAUGAUCAGCCACACUGGAACUGAGACACGGUCCAGACUCCUACGGGAGGCAGCAGUGGGGAAUAUUGGACAAUGGGCGCAAGCCUGAUCCAGCCAUACCGCGUGGGUGAAGAAGGCCUUCGGGUUGUAAAGCCCUUUUUUUGGGAAAGAAAAGCAGCAGGUUAAUACCCCGCUGUUCUGACGGUACCCAAAGAAUAAGCACCGGCUAACUUCGUG